rnacentral:rRNA from 1 species
AGAGUUUGAUCCUGGCUCAGAUUGAACGCUGGCGGCAUGCUUUACACAUGCAAGUCGGACGGCAGCACAGAGAAGCUUGCUUCUUGGGUGGCGAGUGGCGAACGGGUGAGUAAUAUAUCGGAACGUACCGAGUAAUGGGGGAUAACUAAUCGAAAGAUUAGCUAAUACCGCAUAUUCUCUGAGGAGGAAAGCAGGGGACCUUCGGGCCUUGCGUUAUUCGAGCGGCCGAUAUCUGAUUAGCUAGUUGGUGGGGUAAAGGCCUACCAAGGCGACGAUCAGUAGCGGGUCUGAGAGAAUGAUCCGCCACACUGGGACUGAGACACGGCCCAGACUCCUACGGGAGGCAGCAGUGGGGAAUUUUGGACAAUGGGCGCAAGCCUGAUCCAGCCAUGCCGCGUGUCUGAAGAAGGCCUUCGGGUUGUAAAGGACUUUUGUCAGGGAAGAAAAGGCUGUUGCUAAUAUCGACAGCUGAUGACGGUACCUGAAGAAUAAGCACCGGCUAACUACGUGCCAGCAGCCGCGGUAAUACGUAGGGUGCGAGCGUUAAUCGGAAUUACUGGGCGUAAAGCGAGCGCAGACGGUUACUUAAGCAGGAUGUGAAAUCCCCGGGCUCAACCUGGGAACUGCGUUCUGAACUGGGUGACUAGAGUGUGUCAGAGGGAGGUAGAAUUCCACGUGUAGCAGUGAAAUGCGUAGAGAUGUGGAGGAAUACCGAUGGCGAAGGCAGCCUCCUGGGAUAACACUGACGUUCAUGCUCGAAAGCGUGGGUAGCAAACAGGAUUAGAUACCCUGGUAGUCCACGCCCUA